AGGGUGGAUGUGGUAAACUCCGCGAUGGAAACCAAAAACCCAGCCAGAUGUACCAUGUCAAUGUCAGCGAGGCACACAUCUGGCUUCAAUACCGGCAGGGAUAACCAGAACAAAUGGCUGUUAUUCCCGCCGUAUUCAACUUGUCAGCGUCCCCCUGUUGAAGGGGCGGUGGGGGGCAGCGAGCGGGGUCUGGAAGGGGCCUGCGGGCCUCGGACCCGGGCGCUGGGCUUCGGCCUCCACAGGAAGUCGGCGGCGCAGCCUCGCUGCAGCUCCGGGGCGGCGACCCCGCCGGGCCGGGCCGGGUGCAGGGUGCAGGGCGCAGGGCGCAGGGCGCAGGGUGGGCGGCGCAGGCUGCGCGGAGCCACCGAGCCUGAGCCGCGGUCCCGACUCCCGGGCGGCCCGGCUCUUUCCUCGCGGAGGGAGGCGUUCGGAAGAAAUCCCGUGCGAGCUGCAAGACCCCUUGUGCCCUUUCCUCCAUUGCUCCUGGGAGACGGACUCAGCAGAAACCAGGAGGCAGACAAGAGGACAGCGAGGAAGACGGGGUCUUCCAACCAAGCAAGGGUGGGAGCCCCCGACUGAUGCGAGGGGUGUCGCCCCAUGGCAGCCCACCAGGGACCAGUCCAGACUGGAGGCCACCAGCAGCCAGAGUCAUUUCAUCCAGAGAUUUUGACCUCUUGUGAGGAGAACAAUUUGGAGGAUCCCGUGGGGUUGAAUUUGUGAUGGAUGAAAACUGCAGCCAAUAAGGCUCCAAUUUUCAGCGAUACUGGGGAGAGAGAAAAAAAAAGUAAGAAAAAGCAACCCUUUGUCCAAUCGCUGUCCUCCUGUUAGCGCGGAGGCUGUUUUGAGCAUCUGGCCUAAGGAGAGAAGCACAGCCCUGCAGUGCUCUGGAGCCCUGGGCACGCCAGCCCCCAGCCCCGGGGGACCUGUUCCAGGGUAACUCUCCAGCCAGAGCACUCUCCGGAAAGCAGGCUGAGGAUGCGACUGUGGCCCCGUGUGUCGGCAUGACCUCCUGUCCCCGUGUUCUGUGAGCAUUUCUGCAGAGCCGCUGGGGAGGCUCGUGGACCUGCAGGGAACUGGGGUCGUGGCCCCACUGUGGUCUUGCUACCCGAGGGCCCGGGUUUCUGCACCUGUGAAAUGGGAAAAGUGACAGCUGCCUCGCGUGUUUCCCACACUGGCAACACGGCGCAGAUGAGCUCUCUUCUGCACUUAAGAGAUGAGAGGGGCCUGCAUUGUGCACGCCCACAGCCCGACAUCUAACGUCAGAACGCUGGUUCCAGUCCCGGCUGUUCCACUUCUGAUCCAGCUUCCUGCUGAUGCACCUAGGAAGGCAACAGCCCGAUGCGCUUCGGAACUCAGAAGGACUUCAUUCUAAAACAGUGCUGAAGAACGUGAAGCACGAGGGUUCAGAAAGUUCACAAUGUGUAUCCUGAAAAGACUUACGUGUGGAUUUCAAAUUUUCGCACCAAAAUAAACUUAGCUUUGAAUUCCAUUUUCCACACACUUGCUCAAGUGCCCACCUAUAGUAACUUUCCUUUGAUCAGGUUGAUGUUUCCAAAGCGCUAGUCCCUUGGAUGCUGGCCUGGGGCGACCGUCCCGUGGAUGGCUUGUGCUUCAUUUCAUGAAUGACCAUUGAACAAGCUGGUUCUGAAUGCCUAGCCGGGUCCUGCAAGCUGCUUUUCUGGAAAAAUAAUUCGUGGCUCGCUCUGAAACAUCUGCUCUGAGCGACUUCCCAUGCUCCAAUGUACUCCUUUGGAGAUUACAACUCAGAUUGUACUUGCUGCGGUCUCGCACUUGGAUGACUCACGUUAGCCUCGUUGCUACUCCUCUGUUGCCCGCACUUCCUGUGAGAAGCAGCUACCGUGGCCUGGGAGAACCAUCAGAGAAGAUGGGGACCCCAGCUGCUCAGAGAGCCGACUGGAACUUGACCUCGCAGCUGGCACAUUUAACACAGACCCAAACAAUGCCAAACGUCUCAGCCGUGUGGAUGGUUCUGUUCUGUGCAACCGUACCCCUGAGUUUUCAACCAGCAGUCAAAGACAUCAUGAACCUGCCUACUACAUCAGCUGCAUGUGAGGCUCGGAAGCCGCAUAGCUUCCGGGCUCUACCACCGUCCAAAGUGUCACCGUGUUGCAAAGCUUCCCUCCCAACAAUCUUGGAGGACGGACCACGUGGAAGACACAGCAGCUGGUGUUCCCAGAGAGACGACAACCAGAUUUUGGUGUGCGCGAGUAACAGUCUCCCAGGAUGCCUCUGCUUUUGCUUCAAGCAUGAAUUAUUUAUUUACUUAAUAGAAUGAAUAAGUACCAGGCCCGCAGGGAAGAUCUCACCCAGGGCAGUGCAGAUGUGCUGCGAAUCCUUGCAAGUUGGCCUCGGUAAGCCUCAAGCAGGGACAGGCAAGGGUUCAGAGUUUUGUUUUUCAUUGUUUUUUUCUUCUCCCCCCUCCUAUUGAAAAGGCCAAAACCAAAGAUGUUUUAAAGGAUGCCACGGCAGCAAGCCAGAGACCCCGGCUAGUGGGGCCUGGCCUCACUGAGAUGAGGGUCCCGCUGGGCCAGCCCUCGGCACCUUGUGGUCCCAUCCGCCCGCGGGCAGGCACGUUCAGCCCAAGUCCUCCUGCCGGAACCCACCGGCAGGCCGGGCGUGCGGAGAUGCGCACAUCUGACUUACUGGAAGAGAAACCACAUCAGAAAGCCUGCGACACGACAGCGUUGAGGCACCAACCCCACAUCAGAAUGCUUGGGCUGGCUGAGAAGCCCUGAAAUGUCGUGUGUAUUCUUCACUGGGAAUUAAGAACAUGUGGGCCCACUCCUAAUUAUAGCCCACCCUAACGUGUCUUUAAUUAGGGAUUGAGACACUUGGGCUGGAGGGGCCAGAUUGGAUUCAGCUACGAGAUGCAAGCCGCAUUUACUGGGUCAAACUUCCAGCAAACUUAAGUGGCCUGAACACAGUAGGUACUCCAAAGUUUUUUUUAUGAUGACAGUGAUGAUGAUAUGUGUGUGACUUACAGUGACAGGAUGAAAAUGAAGCCAAGUUUAUUCUGCUGGCUCUUUAGAGAAUGUAGACGUAGACAAGAGGACUUCAAAACGUUCACGAACAAUGGAAUUAAAAGAUAAGUUCAGGGGCCAGCGUUGUGACAUGCAGGGUCAAGCAAUGCCGGCGUCCCAUGUUGGAGCACUGGUUUGAGUCUCAGCUACUCCACUUCCCAUCCGGCUCCCUGCUAAUGCACCUACCCAGGAUAUUCACUCUCAGAAUUUGCUGUGUGUGUGCCUUGGAGUCGUUCAAUUCAGAUAGUACUCGCAGGUGACCAGAUUUCCUUGUUUUUGGCCUGUGUCACCGUUAGUGCAUAUCACCAUCCCCUGAAAUCAUCCCCAAAAUAGCACAAUCCAACACCAAAAAGAACUGCCAAAUUGUACAGAUUUUACAGACAGGUUUAUGCAAGCUGGAGGUAGAUUGCCAUGGCCCACAUAGGGAAAUUGACUCCUACCCCACCCUAGGGAACAGCUCAUCCUCUGCGCUUCUGACCCUAGAGUUACCUCUUCCUUUUCCCAUGAAAGUCAGUUGUAUCCCAACUUGCUUUCUCUCCUUGCACACUCACCCCUCGCCCUGCUCUGGAAAGUGAUAGAUUCUCCUCAAGAGGCUUAAUGAUUAUUAUCAUUUAUUUGAAAGGUAAGAUUACAGAGAGAGGGAGAAACAAACGUUCGCAACAGCUGGGGCUGGGCCGGGCUGAAGCCAGGAGCCUGGCUCUUCAUCCUGCCUUCCCAUGUGAGUGGCAGGGGCCCAAGUACUUGGGCCAUCUUCUGCUGCUUUUCCAGAUGCAUGAGCAGGGAGCUGGGAUCAGCAGUGGAGCAGCCAGGACUCAAACCAGUGCUCAUAUGGGAUGCAGGCAUUAGAGCUGGCAGCUUAACCCACUGUACCACAACACCGGAUGCUGUCUUCUUAAUGGCAGGGGGUAGGAUCAUAAAUAGUGAAUAAAUUUACUCUUCCGUCUGUCACAUGCAUUGUCUCACAAAGAGUUUAUAUUGUUUAGUAACCAACUUUAUUUUCCUCAAGGGUAUAUUCUAUGAUAUUGGAGAACUCUUAAAGUUCUGAUGCGAUUAUUUUACAUGAUAGACGAGCAAGGAGAAGCAGGUGUUGGUCCGUGCUUCGAGACACUACUGGCAGAACACUGUUUCGGUCACAUCCUUUUGGGAACUAAGAGUCAUUCUGAGUGUGCUUAAGUUAGUCUUCAAAAGGGUUUGCUCUCAAUAUACUGUGUACAAGAGAAGAAUCUGUAUGGUCCCCAAGACCUGACCCGAUGAAUGUUUUAUUUCUACUAUUAGUCAAACUGUUUUGUGAGUUUAAGUGAGAUUGAGCAGUUGCACCUGUAACUGUUAGCUUUGCUUUCCCCCACGUGGUCCCACACCUACACCUCUGAUCAUAGAGUACAUCAGCCAAUCAGAGAAGAGCCUGAGCCUCAUUUGUGAUUAACAACUUUGUCAUCUGCACCAAUGGGAGCAAUGAACUUCUAAUGACCUUGGAUUCCUUACCUAAGGAGAGACGAACCCCAUGCUGAGAGAGAGGCUGCUGGCACACGUUUGAGUCAUCUAAAUUAGCGUGUUGUCACAAGGAUCUGAAGACCACUAUCUGUGAGAUUAAUGACAGCCACACACUGACAGAGUACUUACUGAGACCUGGGGUCUGUGCCUGUGCCCCUGGAAGCGUGCAUGGAUGUACGUACUGAUUGAACCAAUAGAAUAUGAUAGAAGUCAUGCCUCGGCAUUUUCUUGCUCCGGGGCUUGAGGGAUUGGCAAUUUCUACUUCCUGUCUCUUGGAACCCAGCCUCCAUUCUGUGAGGAAGCCCAAGUAGCCCGAAUGGAGAAGUCGUGUGAACAAGAGCUGCAGCAGAUAGCCAGCUCCAACUUGCUGCCAUGGGACUAAGCCGUUUGGCCAAUGGACCUCCCAGCCCUUGUGAGCCGCUGCACCCGAUGCUCCUUGGGGUGUCGAUAAGCUGCCCAGCAAGUCCUUCACCCUUUCCUGACCGUGAGACUGUGAGCAAGGUGCAGUCCGACACUAGGUUUUCAGCUCGGCACCCGGCGAUAGCUAACCAGAACACAUCUACAUCGCCUACAGCUCUUCAGCAGUGUUUGUGUAUUUGUUAUAUGCCUUCUGUGUUAGUCAGCUUCGGGUGAGCCUAACAAAAUGCCGAGAGGAGCUCUUGGGAAGGAGAAGGUUUAUCUGAGCUUCCAGUGUGGAGGCUGCCGGCUCCAGAUCAGACGGCCCCGUGAGUCUGGUGUCUGGAGGCUCGUGAACAGGUGCAGAAGAGCAGUCGCAUGGUGAGCAGGACGCAGAGAGGUGAGGCUGGACUCAGCCAAAAUGGCCAAACCUCUUGCGAGGUCUGGCUUCUUAGGACAAGCCCUUGUUGACCUCAAGACCUCCGACUGAACCCACCUCCUGGCUGUCAUAAUUAGAUCAAGCCUCUACCCUAAUCCAUCGAUCGUUAGCAUUAAUCCAUUCACUGUAAACAUGAGGCUUUGAGGAUUAAAUGUCUGCCUGAGUGUGGGGAGCCAAGACCUGUUCCAUGCAGAACACUCCUCUUACGUUAUGUGCAUUGUGAAACAUACAGGAAGUAACAUCGGCUCGAUGUAGGUGGAAAGUUCUAAGAUUUUCUUCUCAGGCCAGUGGUUUAUUUUGACAUCUACAGGUUUUGGUCAUCACUGGUCUAGAAUAGAUGAUACCUGAGAUCCAAUGCAAUGCCAGUGAAGUCUCCCAGUAAAUGGUUGAAUGUCUAAAAAACAGGAGUGGAUACAUAGCACUUAGCUAGACGAUAAACGUCACAUCUGGACACAGAUUUGGCCCAAGCAAGAAUGCCUACACUGUGAGAGUAGAAGGCGAUUUUGACAAUUCUAUACUUUUCUCUUUUAAAUUACCAUACCAAAUAGACUUUUUUUUUUAGGAUCAUGGGUUUAAGAUCAAUCAAUUAAUUUGAAUCUUGCUGCAGCCUACUGUGCUAGUCCAAAAUAAUUCCAUAGUGUAUGAACACUAUUUCAUGUCAAUAAUUAAAAGUCCACAUCAUUAUUUUAAUAAAUACAUGUUAUUCCAAUA